CGGAGACAACAGAUUUACAUCCCGGGCACAUUCACGCUGGGCCAGGAGCAGCUGUCACUGUGGAAUCCGGCCCCAAGCUCCCCGCAUCCCACUGUCCUUCUCGGGGUUGGUCAGAAAAGAAGGUGGGGCGGUGUGGGUGG
ensembl:misc_RNA